AGAUGCUGUUGGCUUCCAGUAACAGUGGAAGAAAGACUAUUCUGGUAGUUCUCCCAAGCCCAGCAACUGCAGCUUAGCUCCUGCCAGAGACUUGUAGCAUCCUCUAACCCCUCAAAAGAUCGGUAUAGCUUGAUAGCAUAACCCUAAACCAGGUUCCCAAUUUUGCAGAAAUGAAAAGUAGAAAGAAAAAAAAGAGGCAGCGUCUGCAGAGGAGGAAGAAAGGCGAUUUGCAUGUAGAGGCGGUUUGCAUAUCCUAUGCUUUCAGACCCUGCUCAGUACCAGGAAGUCCCACCUUAUGCUUUCAAACCAGCUAUCAGCCUGCCUGCCUCUGGAAGGACAUUCUUGGUCAAGCACUUAGUGGUACAUCUUGCCUCUAUUACAAACUACAUUUUUGAAGGCUUGUGUAUUAGAGCUGAAGAGAUAGCUCAGCAGUUAGGAGCACUGGCUACUAUUCCAGAAGAUGCAGGUUCAAUGCUCAGCACCCACAUGGCAGUUCACAACCAGAGGUAACUUCAUUCCUGGAGAGAAAUUUGGAAGCACACAUGUCAAGAAACAGGGAACUAAAAGUCACCCAGGAUCCCACCCAUAUAGACACAGCUACAGAUUCUCAGAACUCCUCCUGCAAGAAUAUCACAGCCUAGAAAGCCCACAAGUGUGAUUUGAAGUGACACUAACAC
rnacentral:lncRNA from 1 species